CUGACAAGGGGAAAUGGAGCUGGACCCUAAGCUGCUGCUGCGGGAGGCCCAAGAGAGUGAGGAGCUAGUGAGAGCUACUGGCCAGAGCUAGACCAGAAGCUUAAGGGCCUGCAGGAGGCACAGGAAAAGGGUACAGAUUUUAAUUUUUCUGGGAAUAGGGUAUAUACCCUCUCUCAAGAUUUUCAUAAAGGAUAAUGACUAAAACAAGAUCAAAGAGUGAGCAUCACAGACAAAGGAUGUCCUAAAACAGCAUUUUAAUGAUUUAAAGGAAUCCUCGGGAAGCUCUGGGAUGAGCAAUUGAAGUCUCUUGCAAGAGCUGGGCACCAUUAAACAGGGGACUAUUAAGCCACUAGGUGACUGUCAGGAGUCAUACAGCAUGAAAUUAACACCGCAGAGGACUUAAUCCAAGAAAGUGAGAUCACCAUUGUUGGUGGCAUGGGAGAACAGAUUGAGAAACUGUGAACCGUUACCAAAAAGGCCUUCUGCAUUUAGUUAGACAGGUUACCAGAAGUGUCUCUGCUGGUUGAUGUGCCUUGUUUGUUUGCUCAGCUGAAUGACUCAAUUCUUAUUUUAGUGAAAGGCUACAUCUUUCACCAUGGAAUGGUGGCAUCUCACCUACCAGUAGAAAUGUAAGCACUAAUAGAGAAAACUGGAAGCCUCAUUGUAUGAUGAUGUAAGAUAGAUGAUGACACUAUAGCUCAAGAUUACAGAUUCCAGCUCCAUAAAUGUACUUCAAAUCAUUUUAAGUAUGUAUGUGUAGGCUCUGAAACUGAAUUUAUAGCAUUGCACAUAGAUCCCAAUGUUGAUUAUCAGUUCAGAGUCUAUGCCGGAGGGCAGAGGACCAGCUAACAGGAGUGGAGACCUUGGAGCAUCCUCCAGAUAUGUUAUUCCGUAUUGAUGCCUCCUGAGUGGACAGCUGGCCUUAAGGGGUAUACUCUGAGCAACUGAAGAAAUAUAUCACUCCAGCUUGAUUCUGAAUCCUUCUUCAGCACUCUAAUUUAUUUCCAUGGGCAGACAUUAACAUUUAGAAUUGAAACAGAGAGACGACUGGACAAAAGAGAGAGUAUAGGCGUGUAUCAUAAAGCAUCAAGUACCGCAUCAAGAAACUAUUAGCUCAAGUAACAAAGAAGUGGGUGUUGAUUGGUUAUGCGAUCAAUGGUAUGGUUCUCUUUAUAUUGGAUGCUCAUUUUUCUAUCUUGGGGGAAAUUGUCAAGUGUUU
rnacentral:lncRNA from 1 species